rnacentral:tRNA from 5 species
GCUUUGGUGGUGUAGUGGUUAGCAUUCUAGCCUGUCACGCUGGAGACUCGGGUUCGACUCCCGACCAAGGCG